rnacentral:lncRNA from 1 species
CGGGAUCUCGGAGCAGGAACAGCUAAGCUACCACCGACCGUAGCUUGGCCCCAAAGCCGAUCCAAAUUAAAGGUGACCGGCUACACGACUCGUAGCCACAGCUGUAUUCCUCUGCUUAAUAAAAAAAAUAGAACUGCCCUGUUAAUCAAAGGUGACCGGCUACACGACUCGUAGCCACAGCUGUAUUCCUCUGCUUAAUA